rnacentral:rRNA from 1 species
CAAUAGCGUAUAUUAAAGCUGUUGCAGUUAAAAAGCUCGUAGUUGGAUCUCGGGUCCAGACUAGCGGUUCACCUCGCGGUGAUUACUGCCCGUUCUGACCUACCUACCGGUUGUCCCUUGGUGCUCUUGACUGAGUGUCUCGGGUGGCCGGAACGUUUACUUUGAAAAAAUUAGAGUGUUCAAAGCAGGCAGUACGCCUGAAUAAUGGUGCAUGGAAUAAUGGAAUAGGACCUCGGUUCUAUUUUGUUGGUUUUCGGAACUUGAGGUAAUGAUAAAGAGGGACAGACGGGGGGCAUUCGUAUUACGGUGUUAGAGGUGAAAUUCUCAGACCAAUGGAAGACGAACCACUGCGAAAGCAUUUGCCAGGGAUGUUUUCACUGAUCAAGAACGAAAGUUAGGGGAUCGAAGACGAUUAGAU